rnacentral:rRNA from 1 species
ACGCGUAGGUAACCUGCCUUGUAGCGGGGGAUAACUAUUGGAAACGAUAGCUAAUACCGCAUAACAAUGGAUGGCACAUGUCAUUUAUUUGAAAGGGGCAAUUGCUCCACUACAAGAUGGACCUGCGUUGUAUUAGCUAGUAGGUGAGGUAAUGGCUCACCUAGGCGACGAUACAUAGCCGACCUGAGAGGGUGAUCGGCCACACUGGGACUGAGACACGGCCCAGACUCCUACGGGAGGCAGCAUG